AACGAACGCUGGCGGCAUGCCUAACACAUGCAAGUCGAACGAGACCUUCGGGUCUAGUGGCGCACGGGUGCGUAACGCGUGGGAACCUACCCUUAGGUUCGGAAUAACUCCCCGAAAGGGGUGCUAAUACCGGAUAAUGUCUUCGGACCAAAGAUUUAUCGCCUUUGGAUGGGCCCGCGUUGGAUUAGCUAGUGGGUAGGGUAAAAGCCUACCAAGGCGACGAUGGAUAGCUGGCCUGAGAGGGGGAUCAGCCACACUGGGACUGGGACACGGCCCAGACCCCAACUGGCGGCAGCAGGGGGAAGGAGUACACAAGGGGAGCGAGCCUGAGGCAGCGACGCCACGUGCGGGAUGACGGUCAAGGGGUUGGGAUCGCCAGUCAGUUCUCACGGGGAUUAAGUGACGGUACCGGGAGAAAAAGCACCGGCCAACUUCGGG
rnacentral:rRNA from 1 species